rfam:Podospora anserina complete mitochondrial genome
GAGAGCCGUAUGCGGUGAAAGUCGCACGUACGGUUCGGAGGAGAGUUUUUGGUUUCUAAGGUCUAUAUAGACUAAGGACUGGCUGCUUAUCCUAC